rnacentral:rRNA from 1 species
GAACUAGNUCGGUACUCCGAAUGCAUCNAGAUGGUUGUAAUUUGAUCAUGGCUCAGAUUGCNACGCUGGCUUAGCAUGCCUUACACAUGCAAGUCGAACGGCAGCACGGGAGCUUGCUCCUGGUGGCGAGUGGCGAACGGGUGAGUAAUAUAUCGGAACGUACCCUAGAGUGGGGGAUAACGCAGCGAAAGUUGCGCUAAUACCGCAUACGAUCUACGGAUGAAAGUGGGGGAUCGCAAGACCUCAUGCUCAUGGAGCGGCCGAUAUCUGAUUAGCUAGUUGGUGGGGUAAAGGCCUACCAAGGCAUCGAUCAGUAGCUGGUCUGANAGGACGACCAGCCACACUGGAACUGAGACACGGUCCAGACUCCUACGGGAGGCAGCAGUGGGGAAUUUUGGACAAUGGGCUGCAAGCCUGAUCCAGCAAUGCCGCGUGAGUGAAGAAGGCCUUCGGGUUGUAAAGCUCUUUUGUCAGGGAAGAAACGGUGAGGGCUAAUAUCCUUUGCUAAUGACGGUACCUGACAGAAUAAGCACCGGCUAACUACGUGCCAGCAGCCGCGGUAAUACGUAGGGUGCAAGCGUUAAUCGGAAUUACUGGGCGUAAAGCGUGCGCAGGCGGUUAUGUACGUCAGAUGU